GGGCCCUUAGCUCAAUGGUAGAGCAACGGACUCAUAAUCCGCAGGUUGGGGGUUCGAGCCCCUCAGGGCCCA
rnacentral:tRNA from 1 species